rnacentral:rRNA from 1 species
CGAGCCUGAGGCGAAAGCUGACGGUGAAGUGGUUGAUGCCAUGCUUCCAGGAAAAUCCUCUAAGCUUCAGAUAGUAAGGAACCGUACUGUAAACCGACACAGGUGGGUAGGUAGAGUAUACUAAGGGGCGCGAGAUAACUCUCUCUAAGGAACUCGGCAAAAUGACUCCGUAACUUCGGGAGAAGGAGUGCCUUAUUCGUAAGGCUGCAAUAACAAGAUCCAAGCAACUGUUUAUCAAAAACACAGGUCUCCGCUAAGUCGUAAGACGAUGUAUGGGGGCUGACGCCUGCCCAGUGCCAGAAGGUUAAAGAAGUCGGUUAGCAUUAGCGAAGCUGGUAACUGAAGCCCUGGUGAACGGCGGCCGUGACUAUAACGGUCCUAAGGUAGCGAAAUUCCUUGUCGGGUAAGUUCCGACCCGCACGAAAGGCGUAAUGAUUUGGAUACUGUCUCGGAGAGGGGCUCGGUGAAAUAGACUUGUCUGUGAAGAUGCGGACUACCUGCACCAGGACAGAAAGACCCUAUGAAGCUUUACUGUAACUUGAAAUUGAAAUUGGACUUUAUUCGCGCAGUAUAGGUGGGAGGUGUUGAUUAUAAUCUUGCGGGAUUAUUGGAGCCAUCAGUGAGAUACCACUCUUGUAAUGUUAGAUUUCUAACUUUGAAUCAUUAUCUGGUCAAAGAACAGUUUCAGGCGGGCAGUUUGACUGGGGCGGUCGCCUCCUAAAUGGUAACGGAGGCGUACAAAGGUUUCCUCUGAACGGGUAGAAAUCGUAUCUAGAGUGUAAAGGCAUAAGGAAGCUUGACUGUGAGACCUACAAGUCGAGCAGGGACGAAAGUCGGUCUUAGUGAUCUGACGGUACUGAGUGGAAAGGCCGUCACUCAACGGAUAAAAGUUACUCUAAGGAUAACAGGCUGAUCUCCCCCAAGAGUUCACAUCGACGGGGAGGUUUGGCACCUCGAUGUCGGCUCAUCGCAUCCUGGGGCGGUAGUACGUCCCAAGGGUUGGGCUGUUCGCCCAUGAAAGCGGUACGCGAGCUGGGUUCAGAACGUCGUGAGACAGUUCGGUCCAUAUCCGGUGUAGGCGUUAGAAUAUUGAGAGGAGCCUUCUUCAGUACGAGAGGACCGAGAAGGACAUACCUCUGGUGUACCAGUUAUCGUGCCAACGGUAAACGCUGGGUAGCUAUGUAUGGAGUGGAUAACCGCUGAAAGCAUCUAAGUGGGAAGCCCACCUCAAGAUAAGUAUUCUCA